rnacentral:rRNA from 1 species
GACGAACCGUGCGAACGUUGUUCGGAAUCACUGGGCUUAAAGGGCGCGUAGGCGGGCUGGUAAGUCGGGGGUGAAAGCCUGUGGCUCAACCACAGAAUUGCCUUCGAUACUGCAUGGCUUGAGACCGGAAGAGGUCAGCGGAACUGCGAGUGUAGAGGUGAAAUUCGUAGAUAUUCGCAAGAACACCAGUGGCGAAGGCGGCUGACUGGUCCGGAUCUGACGCUGAGGCGCGAAAGCGUGGGGAGCAAACAGGG